rnacentral:rRNA from 1 species
CUAAUACCGCAUACGAUCUGAGGAUGAAAGCGGGGGACCUUCGGGCCUCGCGCGAUUGGAGCGGCCGAUGGCAGAUUAGGUAGUUGGUGGGAUAAAAGCUUACCAAGCCGACGAUCUGUAGCUGGUCUGAGAGGACGACCAGCCACACUGGGACUGAGACACGGCCCAGACUCCUACGGGAGGCAGCAGUGGGGAAUUUUGGACAAUGGGCGAAAGCCUGAUCCAGCAAUGCCGCGUGCAGGAUGAAGGCCUUCGGGUUGUAAACUGCUUUUGUACGGAACGAAAAAGCUUCUCCUAAUACGAGAGGCCCAUGACGG